rnacentral:rRNA from 1 species
GAAACGGAGAGACUAACAGGAUUCCCCUAGUAACUGCGAGUGAAGCGGGAAAAGCUCAAAUUUAAAAUCUGGCAGUCUCUGGCUGUCCGAGUUGUAAUCUAGAGAAGUAAUGCCCGUGCUGGACCGUGUAUAAGUCUCCUGGGAUGGGGCGUCAUAGAGGGUGAGAAUCCCGUCUUUGACACGGACUACCAGUGCAUUGUGGUAUGCUCUCAAAGAGUCGAGUUGUUUGGGAAUGCAGCUCAAAAUGGGUGGUAAAUUCCAUCUAAAGCUAAAUAUUGGCGAGAGACCGAUAGCGAACAAGUACCGUGAGGGAAAGAUGAAAAGAACUUUGGAAAGAGAGUUAAACAGUACGUGAAAUUGCUGAAAGGGAAACGCUUGAAGUCAGUCGCGUUGGCCGGGAAUCAGCCUUGCUUUUGCAUGGUGUACUUUCUGGUUGACGGGUCAGCAUCAAUUUYGAUCGCUGGAAAAAGGCCUGGGGAAUGUGGCAGCUUCGGCUGUGUUAUAGCCCCUAGUCGCAUACAGUGGUUGGGAUUGAGGAACUCAGCACGCCGCAAGGCCGGGUUUCGACCACGUUCGUGCUUAGGAUGCUGGCAUAAUGGCUUUAAGCGACCCGUCUUGAAACACGGACCAAGGAGUCUAACAUGCCUGCGAGUAUUUGGGUGGAAAACUCAAGUGCGUAAUGAAAGUGAAAGUUGAGAUCCCUGUCGUGGGGAGCAUCGACGCCCGGACCAGAACUUUUGGGACGGAUCCGCGGUGGAGCAUGUAUGUUGGGACCCGAAAGAUGGUGAACUAUGCCUGAAUAGGGUGAAGCCAGAGGAAACUCUGGUGGAGGCUCGUAGCGAUUCUGACGUGCAAAUCGAUCGUCAAAUUUGGGUAUAGGGGCGAAAGACUAAUCGAUCCUCUAUUGCCCU